GGUCGCAUAGCUCAUUGUCGGAAAGAGCGCUCCGCAGUAGGCGGAGAGGUGCAGGUGCAAAUCCUGCUGCGACCC
rnacentral:tRNA from 2 species